UACGUAGGGGGCAAGCGUUGUCCGGAAUCAUUGGGCGUAAAGAGCGUGUAGGCGGCCUGGUAAGUCCGCCGUCAAAUCCCAGGGGCUCAACCCUGGACAGGCGGUGGAAACUACCAAGCUGGAGUACGGUAGGGGCAGAGGGAAUUUCCGGUGGAGCGGUGAAAUGCGUAGAGAGUCGGAAAGAACACCAACGGCGAAGGCAGCUCGCUGGGACGUGACUGACGCUGAGACGCGAAAGCGUGGGG
rnacentral:rRNA from 1 species